rnacentral:rRNA from 1 species
UACAGAGGUCUCAAGCGUUGUUCGGAUUCAUUGGGCGUAAAGGGUGCGUAGGCGGCGCGGUAAGUCGGGUGUGAAAUUUCGAGGCUUAACUUCGAAACUGCAUUCGAUACUGCCGUGCUAGAGGACUGGAGAGGAGACUGGAAUUUACGGUGUAGCGGUGAAAUGCGUAGAUAUCGUAAGGAAGACCAGUGGCGAAGGCGGGUCUCUGGACAGUUCCUGACGCUGAGGCACGAAGGCCAGGGGGAGCAAACGGG